CGGGGUUGGGGGGGGAGGGGGGCAGAGCUGCCAGGGGGGGUGUCCCCCCAGCUCCGGGCAGAGGGACGGGCAGCUCUUGGGGUGACACAGCGAAAGGGAGAUGCAGAUCUACCUGCUCAAGGUGCUGUAUCAUGCCCAGAUAGGACACGGCCAGCGUGAGAAUCAUCCCACCACCACCACUCCAAGGGCUUGAGCUGUCCCUCUCCAGUGGCUCCUCUGCUUUCUCCAGCAGCUGGGUGAAGGAGGAGAACCGGGAUUGCCCCGUAUCCAGUCGCUGCCCACGGCACUCGUAGGGAUGGAUUCCAAAGGCAACGUCCGAAGCGGAAACAAACCCGACGCCAAGGCCCCCAGCUCUGGAAAGCCAGAAAAGCCCAACCCUGGGCCUGCCACGAAUGCAGACAAGAAGGAGGUCCCCAAAGAGCAGCCCGCUCCUGCCGCUGCCACCAAGAAGGCGGGCGGCGACGCCGCUGCCGUCGUGAACAACCACAGCAACCUGAAACCCAGCCCCGCCGCCACCGAGACGCAAGAGGCCACCGGCCAGUCCCCUGACUCUGACCACAAGGGAAACAGCUCCGAGGAGUCUCCAGGCAGCAUCUUCGACAACAUGAAGCCCUUGAUCAUCGUGGGAGGAGUGGCGGUGGCCGCGCUGGCUGUGAUUGUGGGAGUGGCGUUCCUAGCCCGGAAAAAAUGAAGACGGAGCCGGGGUGGGGAUGAGAAACCCAACCCAGCUGUACAGCUCCUUUUGAGACAAAUGCAUGCCGAGAAAUUCUAUACAUAUCUAUUAUAUAUAGAGAGAGAGAGAGCUAGAUAGGUCAACAACAACACACCAACUGCAACUCCAAGAGUCUUGUUGAAGACGACUGUGCCAGUUUGACCCGGUGUGGGUAACUCCAUGCACUCAGUGUGUUCUUUCAUGUAAUAUAUCUUGGCUUAUACCACUGUGUAUAGAUUACAGCUUCUCCUGAUCGGUGUAAAUGGCGGUGUCCCCUCCCCUCCCCCUGCCGUCCUCCCUGGGAGACACCCCCUCACCUCUCCUGCAGUCCCUUGUUUUGGAGUCCAAAGUGUUCUACGUCCCAUCCAGAGUCCCUGCUUUGUGUUUCAGGUUUCUGUUUGGUUUGUUUUUUGGUUGGGUUGUGGUAAAGCAGAUGUAAGGGGAGAUGGAGCUUAGUGUCAAGACCCAGUUUGCCUGUCGCCAUGUGUUGGGCCCCCCUGGGGCAGGGGAACCGCUGGGCAAACGCAUGCAAAAGGUGGCUCCUUGACCCAAAGAGCAAAGUGUCAUCUUUAAUAGGUGUCUCAUGUCCCUGCUGCUCAUCCACCGACCUCUAAAAACCCAACUCAAAAGCGCCCCAGAGAAAACAGGCAGCUGGAGGCUGAGACUGCAGCCUGGUAGAGCGGAAUGUGUGACUUGGGACAUCACACCAAGUCAUUUCUCCGGCCGAGCUGCCAGGGGGGUGAGAGCAGAGGGGACCAAUUGCGACCGACAGCGUGGCCAGCAGCCCGUGGGGGUACCUGGCCAAGUCCCACGCUGACUUCAGGCAGAGAGCAGCUGCCAUCUCCUUGGUUUCUCGUGUGGUGGCAGGCAGUCUCCAGGACCCUGUGGCUCACCAAGGUUGUCCGGGCAGCAUCUGGGGAGAGAGAGACUUUGUUUUGGAUCUAGUAUUUCCUAAAGUUAGGCUGGGCUCUGCGGAACGCUGAGGUCUCAGCCCAAACACCCUCGCGGGCAGCUGGACUCUUUCUGUUCAUUUCUUUGGGAUUUGGAUCAGACCUUUCACCUGCUUUUUUUUUUUUGUUUCCCUUUGAAGGCUAUGGUGUCUCGGUGCAGGAGAAGGUAGAAAAAGUGGAGGCAUGAGCUGGGUUUAGGGGCAGAGAGGACCUGGGAUUCCAUGGGAAUAAGACUGACCUGGAGGGGCUCAAGGCCAGGCUGGAUGGGGCUUGGAGCAACCUGGUCUGGUGGGAGGUGUCCCUGCCCAGGGCAGGGGGGUUGGAACUGGAUGAUCCUUCUUGAUGGGAUCCUUGAUGGGUCCCUUCCAACCUAAACCAUUCUCUGAUCUGCUUUAUACUGGGGAAACCCUGUUCAAGGACACUGGAAGUGUGUCCCUGGGGGGAUUUCGUACCUCCCUCCUAUGACAAUAGCAGGGAUUUGUGACUCCUCCAAGCUUUGGAAAUGGAAAUAAAUUCCCAGUCCUCGGGAACAGCGUAGUUUCAUUGGUGAGACUCUUGGCUCUAAAGGCAGACCUUGUGAAGGGGAGAAGGAAGGCAGGUGACAAGAGAGAGUGCCCUUCCCCUAACACCAAGAAGUGGGCAGAUCUUACUCUAAAAGUUUCCGUGAGACUGCUCGUGGCUGCUGCGCUACUGCAAAAAAGGGUCAUGUAAAAAAAACCCCGAAAAACCCAACCCUUACAUUUUGUUUUUAAAUUAGAUCAGCAAUUAGGCAAGGUCAGAACCGCAGAGUCUCUGGAGCUGGGUGGCAGCGGUUGCAGCCCCACGGGCAGGGUUUUGGAGUGAUGAAUAGCAAGAGGCUGUGACGGUGUGGAGUGAGUUCAGUUAAAGAGCCUCAGUCACACGUCUUUAGCUGGGCCUGGAUGUAUGAAUUCAGCGGGUAGAGGGCCAGAGAAAGAUGGUAUCUGCUGGGUGAGAUUGCUGGAUGGGACAUUAGGGGUGUAUAACCUGAUCUGGCAAUUCUCCUCUUGGCUCACGUCUGUCUUAUUUACCUCCAGAUUGGGUCUGCUGAAUGCACGUGGCUUCCCCAAACAAAAGGUUGUUUUUACGCAGCCCUGGCCAUUCCUGUGGUGAGAGUUGUCAUCCUCUUUUCCCCCAGGCUCCUAAAACACACCCCAGGGUACCCGGCCCCUGGGGAUGUCAGAUAGUGUUUUCUGAUGAAGCUGAAGCUCAAUGUCUACCUCGCCCUUUAGCCGUGCAGAGACAGGGGGUGGGCAUGGUGGAGUCCCAGUGGUUUCUUGGAACGAGCGCUGCAGCCCCAGGUGAAAUCCUGGGGGUUUGAAGAGCAAUUUGUGUGGAUUGUGGAUGUGUCUCCUAGUAGCAGCAUGUCACAGCCUGGAGAAUAUUUUUGAUUUGAAGCAGGAGGGUCCAUAAGGAGGUGUUUCUGAAAUGCCGCUUUUGUCUAAGGACCUGAUUUCCUCUUAUCCUCUUCUGUAGGUGUUCAGAGGUUAUUUCUGGGGAGGGAAAGCAAUAGAAAAGGGUGUAUAAGAGGCAUUUGGAAAGCAAAGAUGUGAAGAGAAUAUAGGUCAGCAGCAGUUCCAGCACAGCUCCCUCGCAGUGGCUGCAGUGGGGCUGUGCAGAGGACACGGGGAGGGUGCUGAGCUCUGCUGAGGGUCUGGGGGUGCUGCUGAGCCCCCAGGCCCUGAUGGGCACAUCCUCUUGGCAUACUGGGGAGAGACCCCACUGCAUACCAGCUCCCCCCUCCUCCUGCUUGCCCCCUGAGCCAUGCAUUCUGCUUCCCCACACGGGGAAUUUGGAUGCACGAGCCAGGAACCCGAUUUCCAUGACUGGGAGGUGUGUGCCUGCUGGGUACAGAGCAACGUAUCCAAACUACUGGGGUUUGGAUGUGGGGUUCUGGCCUCUCCUUCCUUCAGUUCUCUGGAGCACAAAGCUCUUGGCUGUAGGGAAAAUUUGCUUACAUUCCCAUGAGGAAGGGAAAUCGGCUGCUCCUGCUCUGAUUCAUGUUUUGCCGGAGUAGGGUGGUGAUUUUCAGAGAGCGACUGCUGUUCUCCAGAGGGAGGUCUGUCUUCAGGAGAUGCUUCUGCCCAUCCCCUCUGUUCCAUCCCUCUCAGCCCCAGCAUAUGGUGAUAUGUUUUUUUAGCAGCGUGACAUUAUAGAUGUAGCAUCUAUCUAUUCUGUCCCGACCAGAGUAGAUAGAUACAGGAGGAGGAAAAAGAAACACCUGCUUCAUUCAAAUCUCCUAUUUUACUUUCUGAAGUGUUUUUAUUUCCUUGACUUAACCUUUGGGAGCAGAAGAGAGGAAAAACAGUUCUCAGCCAACGUGGGCCUUAACCAUUUGUGUCUGCCCCUGACCCCCCCCUGCCCUCAGAGACCUCAGAUGCAAUUCCAUCCAGAAACACACCACGGAGCUGGUGAUGGGACUGCAGCUCCUCAUGGCAGGGUGUAACCACCUGCGAACCCUUCCUGGACAGUGACCAUGGCAUGUCCUCUUCACAAGGGACUUGCUGCUUGCGUUGCUGUCUGCUGUCCAGAUUCACCACCUGGAACCCACCUCUUUGGCAGUUUGGCUUAGAAAACACCUCUGUGUGUGUGUGUAUGUGUGUAUACACCACCUCACCUUGAAGAAUAUUCUGCAUAUGUAUGUAUACAUACGUAUAUGUUUAUAUUACUGCAGUCUGGAGGUGGGGGGGAGAACAAAUCAACCCGGAGACGACCCUUCACGUGUUCCCCUGCAUUCACACAAAGUGUCCGUGGUGUCUUUUUUCGUGCCAUCCGCAUCAUGCCAUGCAGCACCUCAAUUCCUUUUUCGGUCCCGGUUUCUUCUCAGUGCAAAGAAUGUAUGGCUAGUGAACUGCUGAAUGUACGAUGUGCCCGUUGUGCUAGAAGCUCAAAAAUUACUGUUCCCCUCCCUGGAUAGUCGUGUGGGCUACUCGCUUUAAAAUAAGGCACUUUUUAGACUAUACCGGACUGUGCUGUAGCGCUUUUCCAAGUGUGGGUCUAGUGUCGAUGGGAGUCAGGUAGAUCAAGCCUAGAUGCCAUCCCUGCUCCUGAGCUCGCAGCCGGGGCAAAUGCACUUCAGUCCUGACUUGCAAAUCCUUUUAGCAAACACCUCCUGUUCUGCCUUAACGUGCCAGGCUGUGCGGUGGCUUCAUUUUGAGGAAAAAAACAAAAACAAACAACAACAAACCGAUAAUAAUAAAUGUCCAGCGAGAA